AAAUUGAAGGGUUUGAUCAUGGCUCAGAUUGAACGCUGGCGGCAGGCCUAACACAUGCAAGUCGAACGGUAACAG
rnacentral:rRNA from 1 species